AGUUUGAUCCUGGCUCAGGACGAACGCUGGCGGCGUGCUUAACACAUGCAAGUCGAGCGGUAAGGCCUUUCGGGGUACACGAGCGGCGAACGGGUGAGUAACACGUGAGUAACCUGCCCCAGACUUUGGGAUAACAGUUGGAAACAGCUGCUAAUACCGGAUAUGAGCCUCCCUGGCAUCGGGGGGGUUGGAAAGCUCCGGCGGUCUGGGAUGGGCUCGCGGCCUAUCAGCUUGUUGGUGAGGUAGUGGCUCACCAAGGCUUCGACGGGUAGCCGGCCUGAGAGGGCGACCGGCCACACUGGGACUGAGAUACGGCCCAGACUCCUACGGGAGGCAGCAGUGGGGAAUAUUGCACAAUGGGCGGAAGCCUGAUGCAGCAACGCCGCGUGCGGGAUGACGGCCUUCGGGUUGUAAACCGCUUUCACCUGUGACGAAGCGGAAGUGACGGUAGCAGGAGAAGAAGCACCGGCCAACUACGUGCCAGCAGCCGCGGUGAUACGUAGGGUGCGAGCGUUGUCCGGAAUUAUUGGGCGUAAAGAGCUUGUAGGCGGUUUGUCGCGUCGGAAGUGAAAACUCAGGGCUCAACCCUGAGCGUGCUUUCGAUACGGGCAGACUUGAGGAAUGCAGGGGAGAAUGGAAUUCCUGGUGGAGCGGUGGAAUGCGCAGAUAUCAGGAGGAACACCGGUGGCGAAGGCGGUUCUCUGGGCAUUUCCUGACGCUGAGAAGCGAAAGCGUGGGGAGCAAACAGGCUUAGAUACCCUGGUAGUCCACGCCGUAAACGGUGGGUACUAGGUGUGGGGGACAUUCCACGUUCUCCGUGCCGCAGCUAACGCAUUAAGUACCCCGCCUGGGGAGUACGGCCGCAAGGCUAAAACUCAAAGGAAUUGACGGGGCCCCGCACAAGCGGCGGAGCAUGUUCAUUAAUUCGAUGCAACGCGAAGAACCUUACCUGGGUUUGACAUAUACCGGAAACAUCUGGAGACAGGUGCCCCUUUUUGGUCGGUAUACAGGUGGUGCAUGGCUGUCGUCAGCUCGUG
rnacentral:rRNA from 1 species